UUCGUGCUUGAUCUUUUUGAUACCAUGCCAUUUAAUUUUUUAUCACCACUAUCUUGGUUAAGCAUUUAAAUGAUUGGCAAAGGUUCACCUUAUAAGUGAGCAUGUAAGGGUGCAUCUGCCCUUACAUGAUCAUUUAGUGGGUUGAGACCCCUAGUAGAUGCAUUCUUAAUUGCUUACUUUAGAAACAAAUCUACUCCAGAGGAUCUUUAUCCUAUAAAUGAUUUGCAUUGUAACCUGGUUUUUGACUAGUCCGGCUUUGGGGCAAAUAAUUGGUUCUUAAACUUAAUAACCAUAUCAAAUCUGAGAGUUUUCUUGCAGCAAUCAUAUUGCAUUUUUCUCUAUGCUUGGAUUACUUAAGCAGGUCGCCUAGGGCAUUGGUUAACAUGACCCAUUAUUUAUAAUAGUAGCAAUGAUAUUAUUGCCCAUGGUUAAAUCUGAUACUAUUGUAAACUUUUUAGAUGUUAAUCAGGUAAAAUAUAUCAAAACUUGAAUUUUGUAGUGCUCCGAGGAUAGUCAUAGCUCGCCUACGUCUCAAGUUGCAAUUACUUCAACUGUAGAGGAAAACAAAGGAAAAUUGGUGUAUAUAGCAGUACCAGAUAUAAACCAAGAAUCUCCAAAAGUUCUCACUAUGGCUAGUCCACUGGUUGACAGGGAGACCAGCACAUCAAGAACACACAGCCUCGACGUGGAGCACCUCCUUUCUCACGCAGAUGAUCAUGCAAGAUCAAAAUCUGGCACUAGUUCUUUGGGACCAGAUCCUAGUAGCAGAUGGGCAAAACGAUUCAAGUUAUGCUUGUCAAGUUCUGCUCACGGUACCAAUAGUGCAACAAUUGGAGAAACUUCUUCGCAUGAACAAGUAAACAAUAUUUUCAGAAAAAUGAAAGGUAGAAAAACAAGCUUGGAACCGAAAAUGGCAUGUCAAAUCGAAGAGCAGAUGGUGCCAGACCUAUGUGCAACAACAUUAACAAAUAACAAGUCUUCUACUGAAGAGAACAAAACUGCAGAAAUUACACUUUCACAUCCGUGGAUCCGAAGGUGGUAUCAUAAUCAAGAUGUAUGUCCCCAAAAGAGGCAUGAAUUAUCAGAGUUUCAUGAACCUUCUUCAAACACUCCGGAAGAGUUCCAAAAGAAACAGUGUCCAAGUAUUGCUGCCAUGGCAAUGAUGGGAAAGGCAAUGAAGUGUUUGAAUCCAUGUGAGCUUAUGGAAAAGGGGCCUGUAGUAGUUUGGAAUAUGAAGGGAUUUUGAAAUUGCUUGCCAUCAGUGAUAUAAAUUUGUCGUGAAGUUUAUGGUGUGAUAUCUAUGGGGUUAGUUUGAGAGGAAUGCAGAGAAGUCAGAAAUGAUCACCAUCUCAUAUGCCACUAUCACUACCUUGUUCUCCUCAGGUUUGGAUUAAUUGAGUCAAAAUGUAAACAGUGCAUGCAUCUAAAGAUAGCAUGUUUGGUGUAGAAGAGUGCUUUUAAUGUAUAUAUACACAUGCAGUAACCUUUUCCAUCUAAGUUGGGGAAGUAUAUCUGUUGUCCCACAAUGAGUGUCACACCAUGUGCAUGACAUAGAUUUAAUAUAUAUACUUCAUAUUAUAAGUGUUUUUUUACACUAUGAAUAAAUCAUACUUACUAUUCAUAUGCUAAUUAUUAUGACUCACACACAAAAGUAAUACAAAUUAAUUAUAAAUAAUGCAUAAAUUUUAAAUUCUAUUAUUAUUCAUUAGAUGCGGUUUUAAAGUGGCCACGCAGCAUAAUUCGAAACAUAAGAGAAAUGUUAAAUAAAAAUCCAGCCAAGCAGUAGUUUGAAGUCAACAAAACCAAACUGAUAUUUCCCAAGUUAACUAUAUUACAAAAACAAUCAACGGACGAGGUAUAAUCCUUGCUUGUGGGACCCACCUACAAUAUUAUCUUAACCGUUGAUUCUUUGCAGUAACACACUUUUCCUUCAUCUCCACUUUUAUUUCUUCUGAACUUGUUUUAUUUCAUCUUCUCUGCUCCUCACUGGUUCACACUUUCGCCUAUUUCGAUUUUCCACGUCUCUAUUUUUUUGAAGGUAACUUCGAAUGAAUCUCUUCCUUGUUUUCAAAUGAAUCGCUAAUCAUUGACUUUGUUGUUUCGUGAAUUCCGUUGAAGUUCGAUUUGCUGCUCUUCGCUGAAUUCAAUUUCAAUCAAGCAUUUUCGAUUUCGAUUUCGCACCAAAAAUACAUUUAUUGAUCUUAUUCUAGUAAUUUCUAUAUCAAUUAGGAUUCAACUUUAUUUAUGUAAAGUGUUGGAUGCUUAUGAUCUAGUUUUAUUCAUUUGUAUGUAUCUGCAUGUUAGGUUUUUUUAGAUGAAGGCUUAUAUUUUGUCUCACUUUCGAUUUGAAAGUUUAUUUUGCUUAACCAAGUUUCUGUGGUGGAAAUAGUGGUGUGUUGUUGUGGUGGAGAAAGUGAAUCAGUGAUGAUGCCUAGUGAUAUUGUACAAGCAUGUCAUCAGGGUGAGGGGGUGGAUGGUCAGGUAAUGCAUGGUUACCAAUCAGCCUGGAUGGCUCAUUGGAAGCACACAAACUAUAAGUCAGCAGCAACACCGGCAGCUCGCAAUCGAUUAUUAAACAGUUUCGUGGUUAAAGAAAUCGAAGAAGACAAUGAUGAUGAGCAGCGUGAUUUGAUUCGCGAUUGUGGGCCAGAGGUUGCUAUAGAUGGUUCUGUGCAUGCUGGAGCAACCAGAGAAGCAGAUAGGGAUACAAGGAUUACCUUCAGCGAUGGGGUGAACCCUGGAAAAUCAAAGAAUGCAAGUUUAGGUUCAAAAUCAUUUCCUAUCUUCAGAAAGAAGACUGAUGGAAUUUCUUCUAUGAAGAGGGAACAGAAUGGUGUUUCCCGCCGGAGAUAUCGAAAAUCUGAAACUGAAGCAAGCUCUGGAGAAGACGAUGUUUCUAUAUACAGAACUGGGAGUCACCUACCAUCAACAUCUUCACAUGCUCCUCUUAGAACAGCAACUUCAGUAAGAGAGAACCAAUCAUCGUCUACAGGAAUUUCAGCAGCGCCUUUGUUGAUGAAAUCUCUGUACAGUGUUGAACAGAACAACCUUGUUUCAACAUCACUAUGGAAUGGCUUUGUGAAAUCAGCUUCUGACAAAGUGCCAAAUGGAAACGACAAAGGAAAAACCUUGGUGUCUCCUUCCACACGUGGACAAGAUAAAAUGUAUCAAUCAAGCUACAAGUUAGCAUCUCAAGAGCAUUUCACACGUACUAAAUAUCAUAGCUAUUCUCUUUUAAUCCGCGAGAAGAAAAAGAGUAGCCUGUUAGACCCUCGAAGAUCUUCUUUCCCAAGAUGGUUUCAGGGCGGCGAUGCUCAUUUACAGCUUGAUCCCAUAGCAGGCAGUGGUGAUGGAUAUUCUACUGCUAAUGUGGAGACUACGAAGUUAUACACUAGUUUAGACUCAGUGGAAGAGUCAUCAAGAGAUUAUCCCAAAAUAUCCCUGACAACUCGCCAUUUUCUGAUGUCAAAAAAGGCUGAUGCUAAUUUAUCUGCCCGAGGCCAGUUCUUUAGAGAGUCAAUAGCACCUAUCAAAUUCAAAGGAAAUGCUUUCAAUGAGAUGGAACAUUCCUCUCCAUCCACGAGUGACCAUGAUUUGGAAGGUAUGAAGCUGGAAACUCUAGGGAGCUCAAAAAAGAGUGAAGGAAAGGAAAAUAUCCAAGAUUUCAAUAGUCCAACAAACCUGAAGAAUGAGUCAUCUGCUGAAACUGAUACUAUGGACAUAUAUGCUUUACACAGGAAUCUCUUUCCUGGUAUGUAUGCACACUUUCAUAGCACAUACCAUAUCAUGCUAUUCUUGAAGCCUUGUAUUAUAGCUUUGAUGCUCUUUUCUAGCUGAAUUUCUGAAACCUGUUCUUGUUUGUUGCAGGUAUUGUUCCAUUUCGAACAAAUAAGGUAAUGUGUUUCGUGCUUGAUCUUUUUGAUACCAUGCCAUUUAAUUUUUUAUCACCACUAUCUUGGUUAAGCAUUUAAAUGAUUGGCAAAGGUUCACCUUAUAAGUGAGCAUGUAAGGGUGCAUCUGCCCUUACAUGAUCAUUUAGUGGGUUGAGACCCCUAGUAGAUGCAUUCUUAAUUGCUUACUUUAGAAACAAAUCUACUCCAGAGGAUCUUUAUCCUAUAAAUGAUUUGCAUUGUAACCUGGUUUUUGACUAGUCCGGCUUUGGGGCAAAUAAUUGGUUCUUAAACUUAAUAACCAUAUCAAAUCUGAGAGUUUUCUUGCAGCAAUCAUAUUGCAUUUUUCUCUAUGCUUGGAUUACUUAAGCAGGUCGCCUAGGGCAUUGGUUAACAUGACCCAUUAUUUAUAAUAGUAGCAAUGAUAUUAUUGCCCAUGGUUAAAUCUGAUACUAUUGUAAACUUUUUAGAUGUUAAUCAG
rnacentral:lncRNA from 1 species